AAUACCUUUAAAAAAGUCCAGAGAGGCUUAGAAGGUUUACAUGUCUAAAUGGAGUGCAUCUGCACGCCAACUUUUCUGUAACCUUGCUUCUUUGGAAGUGAGGUUUUUUAGU
rfam:Streptococcus uberis strain CAIM 1894 contig_020, whole genome shotgun sequence.